rnacentral:rRNA from 1 species
AUUGAACGCUGGCGGCAGGCUUAACACAUGCAAGUCGAGCGAGCGGCGGACGGGUGAGUAAUGUAUGGGAAACUGCCUGAUGGCGGGGGAUAACUACUGGAAACAGUAGCUAAUACCGCAUACCAUCAGAUGUGCCCAUAUGGGAUUAGCUAGUAGGUGGGGUAAUGGCUCACCUAGGCGACGAUCCCUAGCUGGUCUGAGAGGAUGACCAGCCACACUGGAACUGAGACACGGCCCAGACUCCUACGGGAGGCAGCAGUGGGGAAUAUUGGACAAUGGGGGAAAGCCUGAUGCAGCCAUGCCGCGUGUGUGAAGAAGGCCUUCGGGUUGUAAAGCACUUUCAGCGAGGAGGCGUUACUCGCAGAAGAAGCACCGGCUAACUACGUGCCAGCAGCCGCGGUAAUUC